rnacentral:lncRNA from 1 species
AGGCGACCGCACUCACUGAUUCUGGGGCCCGUGUAUCUCCAGGUUCCCAGGACUGUCACAGUGAACUGCUCCGUCCCCAGCUGAGACUUGGUCCCCCACGCAGCCCCUUACCUCCCCGUUCCAUAUUCCCAGAUGACUCAAUGUGAAGGUUCUUGUUUAUUGCUGAGCAGAGGAAUAGUUUUUCUUGCUAGUUUUUCUCAGUGAUUUGAAUGUUGUUUUUGAAUUAUAGCCAAAGGGAGAAGGGGACGAGGUCAGAACUAGAAAAAUAUGUCCUGGAAUCUUCUCAACUGGAGAGAGGAAGAGGACCGGCAGGAGCAUGAGCUCGGGAAAGGACAUGACAGGUUUGGUCUCAGGGAGAAGCUAAGCGGAGUGGGCUCCCACCUUGAACUGGUAAGGGCAGAAGGGUCUUUGCCUGCUGCCUUCCUGCUGGCCGUGUCCCACUGUGGACAAGGCGGCACAUGUCCACGGGAGGAGAAGGGCGCCCCCGCGAGUCGGAUACGUCGGGGGGUCCGGGAAGGAUGGUCACACACAAAUGUGAAACCUCAAGCCAUAGAUCUGUGGAAAGAUUUUGUGCCAAAUAAAACACAUAUUGGAAG